rnacentral:rRNA from 1 species
UUCGAUUAAGACAUGCGAGUCUGAGCACUAGCUCGGCGUACCGCUCAGUAACACGUGGGUAACCUGCCCUACUGUUCGGAAUAACCUCGGGAAACUGAGAACAAUGCCGAAUAGUCCACCACGCCUGGAACGGUGGGUGGAUGAAGGUAGGAUGGGCCUGCGGCGUAUCAGGUUGUAGGGGGUGUAAUGGACCUCCUAGCCAUCGACGCGUACGGGUGUUGGGAGACAUAGCCCGGAGAUGGAUUCUGAGACACGAAUCCAGGCCCUACGGGGCGCAGCAGUUACGAAAACUUGGCAAUGCGGGAAACCGUGACCAGGGAACUCCAAGUGAGUCUCUUUUAGGGGCUCUUUUCUUGACUCUAAAACGGUCUUGGAAUAAGGGGUGGGUAAGGACGGUGCCAGCCGCCGCGGUAAUACCGGCGCCUCAAGUGGUCGUCGCUUUUAUUGGGCCUAAAACGUCCGUAGCCGGUUUGGUACAUUCGUGGGUAAAUCAGCUCGCUCAACGAGUUGAAUUCUGCGAGGACGGCCAGACUAGGGACCGGGAGAGGUGUGGGGAACUCUCAGGGUAGGGGUAAAAUCCUGUCAUCCUGAGAGGACCACCUGUUGCGAAGGCGCCACACUAGAACGGAUCCGACGGUCAGGGACGAAGCCUAGGGGCACGAACCGGAUUAGAUACCCGGGUAGUCCUAGGUGUAAACGCUGUGGACUUGGUGUUGGGGAAGCCCAGAGCUUUCCCAGUGCCGUAGCGAAGGUGUUGAGUCCACUGCCUGGGGAGUACGGUCGCAAGGCUGAAACUUAAAGGAAUUGGCGGGGGAGCACUGCAACCGGAGGAUUGUGCG